UCUUUCUGGGUCUCAAGCGGACUGACAUUCAGACUGGAACUUACAUGAGCAGUUCUCCUGGGUAUCCAGUUUGCUGAUUGCAGAUCUUGGAACUAGUUGGCCUUAAUUAGAUAAAACAUGUAAACCAGGAAAUGACAAAUGUUGCCCUCAUCUGUGAAAUGUGAGCUCGAGAAAGGGAAGGAGUCCGGUGUACUCCUGUUCACUGCCGUAUCCUCAGCUCCCAGAGCAAACCUAGUAGAAGAAAACCACUGAUAUAGCUAUUAUGGACACUGAAAAUAAAACAAGAUAAAAUGAAAAACACAUUAUAGAAAUGAAGACAAUGGACUCAAAGAAAAUGGGAAUAGGAACAAAAUGAAAAUGUCAGGAAGAUGUGACUGAGUCAGGUUUAUUUCCAGUGUAGGAGGUAAUGUGUUUCUGUGCUUCGUGGCCAAUAGCCAAG